CCCUUAGAUGUUCGGGGCCGCACGCGCGCUACACUGAAGGAAUCAGCACGUCUUUCUCCUUGUCCGAAAGGACUGGGUAACCCGCUGAACCUCCUUCGUGCUAGGGAUUGGGGCUUGUAAUUCUUCCCCAUGAACGAGGAAUUCCCAGUAAGCGCGAGUCAUAAGCUCGCGUUGAUUACGUCCCUGCCCUUUGUACACACCGCCCGUCGCUACUACCGAUUGGAUGGUUUAGUGAGAUCCUCGGAUUGGUCCCGGCGCGGCCUCUGGUCGUGCCGGAGUGCCGAAAAGAAUGUCGAACUUGAUCAUCUAGAGGAAGUAAAGGUCGUAACA
rnacentral:rRNA from 1 species